GCAGUCGAGCGGAACGAUCCUAGCUUGCUAGGAGGCGUCGAGCGGCGGACGGGUGAGUAAUGCAUAGGAAUCUGCCCGGUAGUGGGGGAUAACCUGAGGAAACUCAGGCUAAUACCGCAUACGUCCUACGGGAGAAAGCAGGGGCUCUUCGGACCUUGCGCUAUCGGAUGAGCUUAUGUCGGAUUAGCUGGUUGGUGAGGUAACGGCUCACCAAGGCGACGAUCCGUAGCUGGUCUGAGAGGAUGAUCAGCCACAUCGGGACUGAGACACGGCCCGAACUCCUACGGGAGGCAGCAGUGGGGAAUAUUGGACAAUGGGGGCAACCCUGAUCCAGCCAUGCCGCGUGUGUGAAGAAGGCCCUCGGGUUGUAAAGCACUUUCAGUGAGGAAGAAGGCUUGUCGGUUAAUACCCGGCAAGAAAGACAUCACUCACAGAAGAAGCACCGGCUAACUCCGUGCCAGCAGCCGCGGUAAUACGGAGGGUGCGAGCGUUAAUCGGAAUUACUGGGCGUAAAGCGUGCGUAGGCGGCUUGAUAAGCCGGUUGUGAAAGCCCCGGGCUCAACCUGGGAACGGCAUCCGGAACUGUCAGGCUAGAGUGCAGGAGAGGAAGGUAGAAUUCCCGGUGUAGCGGUGAAAUGCGUAGAGAUCGGGGAGGAAUACCAGUGGCGAAGGCGGCCUUCUGGACUGACACUGACGCUGAGGUACGAAAGCGUGGGUAGCAAACAGGAUUAGAUACCCUGGUAGUCCACGCCGUAAACGAUGUCGACUAGCCGUUGGGGUCCUCGAGACCUUUGUGGCGCAGUUAACGCACUAAGUC
rnacentral:rRNA from 1 species